rnacentral:rRNA from 1 species
UACAGAGGUCUCAAGCGUUGUCCGGAUUUAUUGGGCGUAAAGAGCGUGUAGGCGGCCAGGUAGGUCUGCUGUGAAAACUCGAGGCUCAACCUCGAGACGUCGGCGGAAACCAUCUGGCUAGAGUCCGGAAGAGGAGAGUGGAAUUCCUGGUGUAGCGGUGAAAUGCGCAGAUAUCAGGAAGAACACCCGUGGCGAAGGCGGCUCUCUGGGACGGUACUGACGCUGAGACGCGAAAGCGUGGGGGAGCGAACAGG